AGUGAACGCUGGCGGUAGGCCUAAUACAUGCAAGUCGAACGGCAGCACAGUAAGAGCUUGCUCUUACGGUUGGCGAGUGGCGGACGGGUGAGGAAUACAUCGGAAUCUACUUUUUCGUGGGGGAUAACGUAGGGAAACUGACGCUAAUACCGCAUACGACCUACGGGUGAAAUCAGGGGAUCUUCGGACCUUUCGCGAUUGAAUGAGCCGAUGUCGGAUUAGCUAGUUGGCGGGGUAAAGGCCCACCAAGGCGACGAUCCGUAGCUGGUCUGAGAGGAUGAUCAGCCACACUGGAACUGAGACACGGUCCAGACUCCUACGGGAGGCAGCAGUGGGGAAUAUUGGACAAUGGGCGAAAGCCUGAUCCAGCCAUACCGCGUGGGUGAAGAAGGCCUUCGGGUUGUAAAGCCCUUUUGUUGGGAAAGAAAAGCAGCAGGUUAAUACACCGAUGUUCUGACGGUACCCAAAGAAUAAGCAACGGCUAACUUCGUG
rnacentral:rRNA from 1 species